AUCAUUGGGUUUAAAGGGUCCGUGGGCGGGUUUGUAAGUCAGUGGUGAAAGUCUGCAGCUUAACUGUAGAACUGCCAUUGAUACUGCAUACCUUGAGUAAUUAUGAAGUGGUUAGAAUAUGUAGUGUAGCGGUGAAAUGCAUAGAUAUUACAUAGAAUACCGAUUGCGAAGGCAGAUCACUAAUAAUUUACUGACGCUGAUGGACGAAAGCGUAGGUAGCGAACAGGAUUAGAUACCCUGGUAGUCUACGCCGUAAACGAUGGUUACUAGCUGUUUGGCUCGAUUGAGAGCUGAGUGGCUAAGCGAAAGUGAUAAGUAACCCACCUGGGGAGUACGUUCGCAAGAAUGAAACUCAAAGGAAUUGACGGGGGCCCGCACAAGCGGUGGAGCAUGUGGUUUAAUUCGAUGAUACGCGAGGAACCUUACCAGGGGUUAAAUGUAGUCUGACAGGUCUGGAAACAGAUCCUUCUUCGGACAGAUUACAAGGUGCUGCAUGGUUGUCGUCAGCUCGUGCCGUGAGGUGUCAGGUUAAGUCCUAUAACGAGCGCAACCCCUGUGGUUAGUUGCCAGCGAGUAAUGUCGGGAACUCUAGCCAGACUGCCGGUGCAAACCGUGAGGAAGGUGGGGAUGACGUCAUAUCAUCACGGCCCUUACGUCCUGGGCCACACACGUGCUACAAUGGUAGGGACAGAGAGCAGCCACUGGGUGACCAGGAGCGAAUCUAUAACCCUAUCACAGUUCGGAUCGGAG
rnacentral:rRNA from 1 species